AUCAAGAUAGCACAUUAGCCAAUUAUUGUGUUACAUAAAAUUAUGACACCAAAAUGUUAUUUUUUGCUAUUUGUAAAUUACAUUAUACUCAUGUCUUAUCCCCCUUAUGUUUUAUAACUCAUAAAACAUUUGUAAAGGAAAAAAAAAAAAAACCCUCUGAAUAACAAAGGAGCGUCUGAGGAAAAGGCCAGGGCAGAAGACAUGAUGUAACUUAGGUUCUUUAAUUAGAAUGUGACGUCCGCCUUGUAUUUUUCUCUGACAACAAGGGUAAGUUUUUACCUGGAUAAAAAGAAAACAGACACACAAGGCAUUCCAGAUGUUCCUUGUCUGCAGGAUUUCGUUCUGAUUCUCUGAGGGGUUGUCUGGUGGUUAGGAAUUCGUGGUCUGUGUAAUGCAGGCGCUGGCCUCACCCAGCUUCUGAGGUGCACACUCCCUUCAGGCAUCAGUAUAAUUAGGUGCCAUGAGGUGGGGAGGGUGGGGGUGGCUGGCUGUCCAGCCAGAGGUAAGCAAUUCUUCAAAAGCAGAUCCUGAAAACAGACGGUCGCUCCCCAUCUGACAUCAUAUUUUGCAAGACCUCCCUUCUAGAAAACACACCAAGCCUCGGGCAUCGUGUGUGGUUAAGAGGAGGCCUGGUGGGCUCACUCUUCAGUGUUCCUGCCUGUCUUAGAACGUGCCACCAGCAGCAGCACCUGAGCAUGGCACAGCGUGUGAGCCUUCUGGUCCUUCUCCUGGGAGUGCUGGCAUUUCAGAUGAAAGGGGUGCUUGGUGUGUCAGAUGAGAGCAGUGACAGCAGUCCUGGGCACCGAAAGAGCUACUACGUGGUUUGGAUGCUGGUAAGUCAAUAGCAUUUGCCUUUCCUGAAAAAAUGAAGGUACUUUGGAUCAGGGUUUCUCAAAGCAGCACCAUUGACUUUAGGGGCUGAUGAUUCUCUGCUGCUGGGUUUCCCUGUCAUUGCAGGGUGUUUAUCAGCAUCUCUGACCUGUUCCCUCUAGAUGCUAAUAGCACCUCUGUCCUCUAUAUGGGACAACCAAUGUCUCCAGAUAUGGUCAGAUGUCCCCUGGAGACAGAACUUCUCCCCAGUUAAAACUCUUAAUUUUUUACUUUUUUCCAUCGUGGCACAGCAGAAAUGAAUCCAGCUAGGAACCAUGAGGUUACAGGUUCUAUCCCUGGCCUCGCUCAGUGGGUAAAGGAUGGUUAAGGAUCUGACGUUGCCGUGAGAUGUGAUAUAGGUCACAGACAUGGCUCAGAUCCUGUGUUGUCACAAGUGUGGCCCUAAAAAGCAAAAAACAAAAUCAAAAACCCUCUUGUUUUAGAUAAUUUACAGGAGACGCCUACUUAAGUUGGAGAAAUUUAGCACACUGGCAAUACUUGAGGGGCUAGUAAAAUAUGAGCAUCUGAAUUUUUCAAAUCUCUUGUGUACUGAACCCAAACAAGAAUGUUUUGGAUUCAGGGAGAACAGAUUUAUUUUUGCAUAUAAUAUUUCUCUGUCAUACCAGAGGAAUUCAGUACUGGGCUUAGUUUAGAAGACAGAAAGUUCAAACUAACCGUUUGAGUUCCAGUAUCAUCCCAAAGGAAAUCCUACAAUACCACCUACAUCAACAAAAUAAUUUAAUCAUUUAGGACAUAAUGAUGAGGAUUUUUUUUUGUCUUUUUGCUAUUUCUUUGGGCCGCUCCUGCGGCGUAUGGAGGUUCCCAGGCUAGAGGUCUAAUCGGAGCUGUAGCUGCCAGCCUACGCCAGAGCCACAGCGACACGGGAUCCGAGCCGCAUCUACAACCUACACCACUGCUCAUGGCAAUGCCGGAUCGUUAACCCACUGAGCAAGGGCAGGGACGGAACCCGCAACC
ensembl:lncRNA